rnacentral:rRNA from 1 species
AAUCAACGCUGGCGGCGUGCCUAACACAUGCAAGUCGAACGCGAAAGGGGCUUCGGUCCUGAGUAGAGUGGCGAACGGGUGAGUAACACGUGGGUGACCUACCUUCGAAUGGGGGAUAAC